UAUAAGAGAUUUUGAGUUUUUUCUUACAACGUUUGACCACUCGUCUUAUUCAAAAAAAUUUUAAAAUUAUUAAUUAUUUUAUUUGUGACUUUCUUUAUUAUCUACAGUAUUUUAAGCAUAAUUUUUCGUUUUUUAUAUUUGCAAAAAAAAUUUAAAUAAGACGAGUGGUCAAGCGUUGCAAGCAAAAACUGAAAAUCCCAUUGUGG
rnacentral:pre_miRNA from 1 species